rnacentral:rRNA from 1 species
UUAAGCGACUAAGCGUACACGGUGGAUGCCCUGGCAGUCAGAGGCGAUGAAGGACGUGCUAAUCUGCGAUAAGCGUCGGUGAGGUGAUAUGAACCGUUAUAACCGGCGAUUUCCGAAUGGGGAAACCCAGUGUGUUUCGACACACUAUCAUUAACUGAAUCCAUAGGUUAAUGAGGCGAACCGGGGGAACUGAAACAUCUAAGUACCCCGAGGAAAAGAAAUCAACCGAGAUUCCCCCAGUAGCGGCGAGCGAACGGGGAGGAGCCCAGAGCCUGAAUCAGUGUGUGUGUUAGUGGAAGCGUCUGGAAAGGCGCGCGAUACAGGGUGACAGCCCCGUACACAAAAAUGCACAUAUUGUGAGCUCGAUGAGUAGGGCGGGACACGUGGUAUCCUGUCUGAAUAUGGGGGGACCAUCCUCCAAGGCUAAAUACUCCUGACUGACCGAUAGUGAACCAGUACCGUGAGGGAAAGGCGAAAAGAACCCCGGCGAGGGGAGUGAAAAAGAACCUGAAACCGUGUACGUACAAGCAGUGGGAGCCUCUUUAUGGGGUGACUGCGUACCUUUUGUAUAAUGGGUCAGCGACUUAUAUUCUGUAGCAAGGUUAACCGAAUAGGGGAGCCGAAGGGAAACCGAGUCUUAACUGGGCGUUAAGUUGCAGGGUAUAGACCCGAAACCCGGUGAUCUAGCCAUGGGCAGGUUGAAGGUUGGGUAACACUAACUGGAGGACCGAACCGACUAAUGUUGAAAAAUUAGCGGAUGACUUGUGGCUGGGGGUGAAAGGCCAAUCAAACCGGGAGAUAGCUGGUUCUCCCCGAAAGCUAUUUAGGUAGCGCCUCGUGAAUUCAUCUCCGGGGGUAGAGCACUGUUUCGGCAAGGGGGUCAUCCCGACUUACCAACCCGAUGCAAACUGCGAAUACCGGAGAAUGUUAUCACGGGAGACACACGGCGGGUGCUAACGUCCGUCGUGAAGAGGGAAACAACCCAGACCGCCAGCUAAGGUCCCAAAGUCAUGGUUAAGUGGGAAACGAUGUGGGAAGGCCCAGACAGCCAGGAUGUUGGCUUAGAAGCAGCCAUCAUUUAAAGAAAGCGUAAUAGCUCACUGGUCGAGUCGGCCUGCGCGGAAGAUGUAACGGGGCUAAACCAUGCACCGAAGCUGCGGCAGCGACACUAUGUGUUGUUGGGUAGGGGAGCGUUCUGUAAGCCUGUGAAGGUGGCCUGUGAGGGUUGCUGGAGGUAUCAGAAGUGCGAAUGCUGACAUAAGUAACGAUAAAGCGGGUGAAAAGCCCGCUCGCCGGAAGACCAAGGGUUCCUGUCCAACGUUAAUCGGGGCAGGGUGAGUCGACCCCUAAGGCGAGGCCGAAAGGCGUAGUCGAUGGGAAACAGGUUAAUAUUCCUGUACUUGGUGUUACUGCGAAGGGGGGACGGAGAAGGCUAUGUUGGCCGGGCGACGGUUGUCCCGGUUUAAGCGUGUAGGCUGGUUUUCCAGGCAAAUCCGGAAAACCAAGGCUGAGGCGUGAUGACGAGGCACUACGGUGCUGAAGCGACAAAUGCCCUGCUUCCAGGAAAAGCCUCUAAGCAUCAGGUAACAUCAAAUCGUACCCCAAACCGACACAGGUGGUCAGGUAGAGAAUACCAAGGCGCUUGAGAGAACUCGGGUGAAGGAACUAGGCAAAAUGGUGCCGUAACUUCGGGAGAAGGCACGCUGAUAUGUAGGUGAAGCGACUUGCUCGUGGAGCUGAAAUCAGUCGAAGAUACCAGCUGGCUGCAACUGUUUAUUAAAAACACAGCACUGUGCAAACACGAAAGUGGACGUAUACGGUGUGACGCCUGCCCGGUGCCGGAAGGUUAAUUGAUGGGGUUAGCGGUAACGCGAAGCUCUUGAUCGAAGCCCCGGUAAACGGCGGCCGUAACUAUAACGGUCCUAAGGUAGCGAAAUUCCUUGUCGGGUAAGUUCCGACCUGCACGAAUGGCGUAAUGAUGGCCAGGCUGUCUCCACCCGAGACUCAGUGAAAUUGAAUUCGCUGUGAAGAUGCAGUGUACCCGCGGCAAGACGGAAAGACCCCGUGAACCUUUACUAUAGCUUGACACUGAACAUUGAGCCUUGAUGUGUAGGAUAGGUGGGAGGCUUUGAAGUGUGGACGCCAGUCUGCAUGGAGCCGACCUUGAAAUACCACCCUUUAAUGUUUGAUGUUCUAACGUUGGCCCGUAAUCCGGGUUGCGGACAGUGUCUGGUGGGUAGUUUGACUGGGGCGGUCUCCUCCUAAAGAGUAACGGAGGAGCACGAAGGUUGGCUAAUCCUGGUCGGACAUCAGGAGGUUAGUGCAAUGGCAUAAGCCAGCUUGACUGCGAGCGUGACGGCGCGAGCAGGUGCGAAAGCAGGUCAUAGUGAUCCGGUGGUUCUGAAUGGAAGGGCCAUCGCUCAACGGAUAAAAGGUACUCCGGGGAUAACAGGCUGAUACCGCCCAAGAGUUCAUAUCGACGGCGGUGUUUGGCACCUCGAUGUCGGCUCAUCACAUCCUGGGGCUGAAGUAGGUCCCAAGGGUAUGGCUGUUCGCCAUUUAAAGUGGUACGCGAGCUGGGUUUAGAACGUCGUGAGACAGUUCGGUCCCUAUCUGCCGUGGGCGCUGGAGAACUGAGGGGGGCUGCUCCUAGUACGAGAGGACCGGAGUGGACGCAUCACUGGUGUUCGGGUUGUCAUGCCAAUGGCACUGCCCGGUAGCUAAAUGCGGAAGAGAUAAGUGCUGAAAGCAUCUAAGCACGAAACUUGCCCCGAGAUGAGUUCUCCCUGACUCCUUGAGAGUCCUGAAGGAACGUUGAAGACGACGACGUUGAUAGGCCGGGUGUGUAAGCGCAGCGAUGCGUUGAGCUAACCGGUACUAAUGAACCGUGAGGCUUAACCUU